UACGUAGGGGGCAAGCGUUGUCCGGAAUCAUUGGGCGUAAAGAGCGUGUAGGCGGCCCGAUAAGUCCGCCGUGAAAGUCCAGGGCUCAACCCUGGAAUGCCGCUGGAAACUGUCUGGCUAGAGUCCGGAAGGGGCGAGUGGAAUUCCUGGUGUAGCGGUGAAAUGCGCAGAUAUCAGGAGGAACACCUAUGGCGAAGGCAGCUCGCUGGGACGGUACUGACGCUGAGGCGCGAAAGCGUGGGGAGCGAACAGG
rnacentral:rRNA from 1 species